GGCUGAGCCUGCUGAAGAUAAACAGGGAGGACACUUCCUCUUGUGACAGUAUUUAAGCAGCUCCAUCCAGCUGAUGAUUCAAUCGUUCAGCUGACUGAUCGCAGAGUUUGACAGAUCGCUGCUCGCUCGCCUACAGACAGAAAACAUGACCACUGCUCCCCUGAUCCUCGUCAUGAUCGCUUUGGCCUUCGUACAAUCAUUUGCACUGAAAAGGCACAAUAAACCACCUUGUCGGGAGAAAAAUGAUAACAAUGCGUACCAAAUAUUUUCUCAAAAACACAUCCUUCGGAAACAAUUUGACACAAACAACAUAGCUGCGUGGCAAACAUACAUCCAUGGACUGCGACUCCCCGGCAACAGACCUCUGCAGUCAUUCUUCGACAAUGGGGAUGAGCCAAGAGUCCAGGCCAUCUGUAAUGGCAAAGGACACCAGAUAGCUAAACCACAGUAUAACCAAGCUAACUUAUGCAUCAGUGACCAACCAUUUGUUUUUCAUUUUGUUGAAUCGGAUCAAAAUGGCAGGGUUUUAAAGGUUACUCAUCCUAAACAAUUGGUGGUUGUGGCUUGUGAUAAGGUCAGAAACCAAUGUCGUCCUGUUCAUUUUGAGAAGUACAACAGCCAACAGCCUAAUACAAAAGUACCCUGUAGGCCUUAGCAGCGUAGAAACGGUUUUUGAGGGUUAGAAGACAUUAGAUUGCAUUUCUUAAUCCUAUGCCAGGUUGAGCCUAACCAGGCCUCUUUUGCUUACAUGCAAACAUGUUAUUUUGGAUAUCUGCUAAAUCUUUGAGCCCUGUUAUUAUAACAAGCUGUUACAUGGAGGGUAUGCUUUGAAACACUUCAGGGAUUCAUUACUGCAGAAAUCGUUGUGGAAAUGUAAUCACAUCCUGAAGUGGUGCUUUGAAUGUGUGUUAAAUAAAUUGAUUGAAGCUGCAUUAAUCAAUAACUUCAUGUAAACAUUGAAUUAUGAACUUUUGUGCUAUUAAAAAAUAUUUCCUAACCCCACAA